rnacentral:rRNA from 1 species
GUGGGGAAUAUUGCACAAUGGGGGAAACCCUGAUGCAGCGACGCCGCGUGGAGGAAGAAGGUCUUCGGAUUGUAAACUCCUGUUGUUGAGGAAGAUAAUGACGGUACUCAACAAGGAAGUGACGGCUAACUACGUGCCAGCAGCCGCGGUAAAACGUAGGUCACAAGCGUUGUCCGGAAUUACUGGGUGUAAAGGGAGCGCAGGCGGGAAGACAAGUUGGAAGUGAAAUCUAUGGGCUCAACCCAUAAACUGCUUUCAAAACUGUUUUUCUUGAGUAGUGCAGAGGUAGGCGGAAUUCCUGGUGUAGCGGUGGAAUGCGUAGAUAUCGGGAGGAACACCAGUGGCGAAGGCGGCCUACUGGGCACCAACUGACGCUGAGGCUCGAAAGUGUGGGUAGCAAACAGGAUUAGAAACCCGUGUAGUCC